CCUGGCGGCCACAGCGCGGCGGUCCCACCUGACCCCAUGCCGAACUCAGAAGUGAAACGCCGUAGCGCCGAUGGUAGUGUGGGG
rnacentral:rRNA from 1 species